GUCUACGGCCAUACCACCCUGAACGCGCCCGAUCUCGUCUGAUCUCGGAAGCUAAGCAGGGUCGGGCCUGGUUAGUACUUGGAUGGGAGACCAUUAGCGGGUAACAGUAUCCCAAUACU
rnacentral:rRNA from 1 species